rnacentral:rRNA from 1 species
UACGUAGGGGCCAAGCGUUGUCCGGAUUUAUUGGGCGUAAAGAGCGCGCAGGCGGUCGUUCAAGUCGCGUGUGAAAGCCCCCGGCUCAACUGGGGAGGGUCACGCGAUACUGAUCGACUCGAAGGCAGGAGAGGGAAGUGGAAUUCCGGGUGUAGUGGUGAAAUGCGUAGAUAUCAGGAAGAACACCCGUGGCGAAGGCGGCCUGCUGGGCAGUAGCUGACACUGAGGCGCGACAGCGUGGGGAGCAAACAGGG